rnacentral:rRNA from 1 species
AACGAACGCUGGCGGCAUGCCUAACACAUGCAAGUCGAACGAGACCUUCGGGUCUAGUGGCGCACGGGUGCGUAACGCGUGGGAACCUGCCCUUAGGUUCGGAAUAACUCCCCGAAAGGGGUGCUAAUACCGGAUAAUGUCUUCGGACCAAAGAUUUAUCGCCUUUGGAUGGGCCCGCGUUGGAUUAGCUAGUUGGUAGGGUAAAAGCCUACCAAGGCGACGAUCCAUAGCUGGUCUGAGAGGAUGAUCAGCCACACUGGGACUGAGAAACGGCCCAGACUCCUACGGGAGGCAGCAGUGGGGAAUAUUGGACAAUGGGCGGAAGCCUGAUGCAGCAAUGCCGCGUGAGUGAUGAAGGCCUUAGGGUUGUAAAGCGCUUUUAACCGGGAUGAUAAUGACAGUACCGGGAGAAUAAGCCCCGGCUAACUCCGUG